rnacentral:rRNA from 1 species
CACGUAGGGUGCGAGCGUUGUCCGGAAUUAUUGGGCGUAAAGAGCUCGUAGGCGGUGUGUCGCGUCGGCCGUGAAAACCUGCAGCUUAACUGUGGGCUUGCGGUCGAUACGGGCAUCACUGGAGUUCGGCAGGGGAGACUGGAAUUCCAGGUGUAGCGGUGAAAUGCGUAGAUAUCAGGAGGAACACCGGUGGCGAAGGCGGGUCUCUGGGCAACAACUGACGCUGAGGAGC